UGGUGGGACAGCACCGUGUAAGGCAGACAUGUCGGGGGUCCGGGUGGUGUCGCGGCUCCUGGGCGCCCGGCGCCUGGCACUGACUAGGGCGGUGAGUCGGCGCCGUGGGGCGGGCAGGGCGCGGGGAGCCGAGGAGGGGCAGGACUUCCCACGGGGCGGAGCGGACGCCGAGUCCCCCCGGCGCCGGACCGGGACGGGGUCGCGAGGGUCUGGGGGAGGAUGCGGUGAGGAGGCCGCCCGAAGGGGUGGGGCCGACCCGGAGGGCCGCGGGACUCCUUCUGAAGCCAGCGAGUCGCGUCCCGGUGAAGGUCAUGACCCCGCUUGCCGUCCCCGGGGACCCUUCCCCAGAGUACUAAGGUCGCCCCCGCCCCAGCCUUCGGCGCGUGGGGAGGCGUGUUUGCCCGAGGUCACCCUGACAGGUGGCGGCCCGUGGGUGCCCCGGGCCUCUGAAUCCAAAAGCGCCCUUAGAUCUCCGGCGGAGGCGGGCCGGCAACCGCAGGCGCGCGCCGGCCGGGCGCUGUGCCGAUCGCCCUGGGGACGGUCCGUCGGGUGCCAGCAGCCCCGAGGACCCGGCCGGGCUCGGCCCUCCCGCCCCAGGCAGGGUAGGUGGGAGGCACGUCUGACACCGGCGCUGGCGCUUGCCUGGCAACUGUUUGCAAAACCGCGCUUCUUCGGGGAAAGCGAAGACCCGUGUUUCACACCGGGAUCUGGCAACUUUUGGACCUUCAUUUUGGGUUUUGUAUGGUGGCCUUUUGCGCACAUUAGAAAACCAGGCGAAGAACGUCAGCGCUCUGACCGCAGACCACGUUCGGGCGACGGCGCCGGGAAGUCUGAUUUCCCGUGCGUUGUCUGCCCGGACUCCGGUCAGUCGUGGAUGACCGUCAGGGUUGUGCCUUCUGGAGCCCUUGCUUACCGGAUUGUGUCAGAUGUACUCCUUACAGUUACGUCUUCAGGAUCUACCUUUUCAGGUUUUAUUUCAGCACACUAAACUUGGAGGGGUUGUUGUUUGGGUUCUUUUAUAUGAUCCGCCUGCCCACCUACUUAGUAAUGUAAUUACAGAGUGAAAAUCCCAGUGGGAACCGAGGCAUUCAACAGUAUUGACAGGAGUUAUGCCUGUAGUUAUACCUGCAAUUUUCUCCAUUUUGAAAUACAGAUACUAAAAAUUAAGUUAAAUGUGAGAAGGUUAACUCCGCCAUCCUGCCAAUGCCAGAGAACGUUUUCAAUGCUUUCUCGUGCUGCUGUGGUUGAUGCUUCCUGAGCAGAGGUCCCCACUCUCCACACCCCACCCAUCUUGGGCUCUAAGUCCACAAGCUGGAUGGGCAGUGGGAUAUUCUUCGGCAAACGUGAGCAGACUUCUUAGUGCCUCCUGCUUGUUAAGUGCAGUGACCAGUAACUGGUGGUGCUGGGAGAAGAGCUAAACAUGUGUGUCCUCGGUCACCCCAGCGUUCUUGUGCAGACUAAGACCCCUCCAGUCUGUGGAACUCCCUUGACCACCUGCCUGCCCUUUGUUUAUGACCUUGUUGUCCUUUAUGUAAACUGGACUAGAAUUCUAGCUCUGAGCUCUGAGCUGCAAGUGAGAAUAAGAUUCUGAGCACCACUGGUCAGAGUGUGUAAACCUGUACUUUUGUAUUGGCUUGAUUGGAAGUUAUCUUGGUUGAAUCAACUAUUAGCUGCCAGCAUUUACCCUUCUUUUUACCUUGAUGAAGAUAGCUUUUCCUGUGGAAAUUAAUUCUGCCCCCAAGCAGUAUAUGUAGUGGAAUUUAAGAUUGGCAAAAACAAAAGCAUCAACUUAGAACAACAACAACGAAAUGUAUGAUCACCAACUGAGAAAUGUGCACGGAGAGUAGAUGAUGAGGGUAGUUUGAAUAAAAUCCACAGAGAAUUUUUCUUGAUUUCAUUUUGUUCAAUUCUCUGGUGUUUCCAAGGCAGUUUAUAUUUACAGCUGCUUUCAAGUUGCAAAAUCAUCAAACCUAUUUUGCGUUGGUUUCAUUUUUAGUUAUCUUAAUGCACUGACAUAAUUUGCAGACUGUUCUGGUGUAUUGAAAGGAAAAGUAAAAGCAAGGUCCUUAAAUAGUUGCUGGUUAAUUGCUUCAGAUGAGAUUUUUCAAAUUCUUUAACAUGGAUAUCCAAAGUACUGUUCUAGAGUAAGUCAGUUUUUCUUUGAAUGUAUUGUUUUGAAUUUGGCUUAAUGAUGUAUCUAGAAUUACAUUAUUUAGGCCAUUGUGGUAACCUUUUUUGUUUUCCUUUUUGGGGUAAUUGUACCGCUGUGGCAUUCAUUUCUGCAUUCUGUGGGAUGUUUUUCCUGGUUCACUGGAAAAAUUGUGGCUUGGUUUUGAUACGUAAUCUGGAUAUGCAUCUUAUUUUGGAGUCCCAGAGAUUUUUCCUAAGGCUCCUUACCUAGGGGGGAUGUACUGAAUCUGGUACCAGCCAGGCAGACCAGAGUUCAGACCCUGGAUAGACUCCAUUUCUCUUUCAUGAGGGUUCUGGGAGGUAGCCUGUGACGCCCUGGUGUGGUGAUCAUUCUAGCCAGGACCUACACCUACAGCCUGUGCUCGAUAAUCUUGUGAAUUGUAUUCUAAGCAUCCCUGUUUUAAAAACCUUUAAACUUCUAAUGAAAAUAAUUACACAUAGUUAUAAAAAAAAAAGUCAAGGAAUACAGAGGCUUUAUAAAUGAAAAGGAUUGAGACCCUCUCCUAACCUCAGACCUGUUCCCCAGUGAAAUCACUUCUGAAUUGUUUCUGUUAUUGGCCGCUGGUGUUUACCUCCAUGUCUCUAGCUAAUGUGCAGGCUUACGUUCAUCCAUUUUGGACUUUGACUUGUGGCUCUGAAUGAGGACUCAGUUCGCUUAAACCAUCUUCCCCCAUCCUCAGUUCUUCCCAUGGCCUUCCAAGGCACUUUCAGAGCCUUUAUGGGCUGCUUUUCUUAUUAUACAGAUUGUACUUACAAAUAGUUUCUUGUCUGCAAUUCAUAGGUGAACGCUAUCAGAUGGGGACCUGUACUUCGCUAGAUUAAGGGUUUCAAUAUCUCUGCCCUUCUCUUCAGUUUUCUCCCUUUUACCAUUUAAGUCAUUCACUUGUGCUUUCAUGUCAUUAAAAGCUCUGUUUCUUUUAAUUCUGCCUCCAAGGCAGAUUUCCUCACGCUUCUUUACGUUUCCCUGUUGGAAAAUGUUUGAUAGUUUUACUUCAAAAAAUGUUAAAUAGUUUUAUUUAUAGACAAAUUGGGUUAAUUUUGGGCUCUCCAGAUUCUAAAAUUGCUCCUCAAAUCCGAUUUGGAUAAAAAGCUAGUAUUCUAUUUUCCACAGGGAGAUAGUAUGAUAAUUUGUUAGAGAUUUCAUUUUAACAGCUGCCAGUGUUUGAGAUGGCCGUGUGUGUCUAUCUUUAUUUAACGUGAACAUCCUAGAAAGAAGAAAUAAAUACUUAGGGAAUCUCACUGUUACUAUUUUACUUUUUUACAGUUCAACUUAAGCAGGUAAGUUUAAUGAUCAGAACAAAAAUGGGAUCGCUUAGGAAAAACUAUAUAAAAGACGCUUUACAGUAUAAUAUGUCCUUUUCAUGUUGAUUAUUUUUAUAGGAUUUAAUAUGUGAUUAUUCUUCAGUUUUCUGAAUUAAAAUUGUUCAGGUGGCCAUAAAAUCUGGAAACAUAGACAAAUAUACAUAAUAAAUAGUUUACUCAUAUUCCAACAAAUGUUCAAUGAAUGUGCUGUUCCUCAUUAGCAUUUCAUACUUUAACAAGUUAUGCAAAACUGCAUGUGCACCAAAGCACUAUUUCCAUCAAUCCUCGUACAUCCACCUACAACGAAUCGCUUGUGGGGAUUUGUGUGUCUCACUUUCCCUGAAUAAACGUGUGCCUUUAGCACACCCAAGGUGUAAUUAAGGAAGAAGUGUCUGUCAUCUGUGUUUCUGGAUUGUGUGGUCCUGUUUUUGGUUUUGUUUUUUUUUUUAAGUUUCACCUACUAUAAGUCUUAAAAACAUUUUUGACCAUUCGUAUUAUACCAAGAAAAAAGAUGAAUACUAAAUACAAGCUAAUGGAAAAACAAAAAUUCAUUUGUUUUACCUUUCUAUUCCACAUCACAACAUUUUACUGAAAAUGAAGGGAUUUUUCAUCUAUAGAUAAAAGACUCUAAAUGGUACUUAGGUUGUUUUACAAGUUUGAUUUUAAAAUCGUUUAGAAUUCACAAUGGGUCUUACACACAAUGAUUUCAAUAAAUCAGGCACUCCAGAGCACAAUUGGAGGUGUAACAAUUAUGUGAUGACUUCUUAACAGUCCAAGGAGAUAAAGACCUUUUUUUCAAAUAUGGAAAGAAAUUAAUCUUUCUGCAGUAUUAACCCCUAAAAGCUAUCUUCCUUUAUAGACUACAAUAUUAUUGUCAAUUUAAUAUACUUUUAUUUUUUUUAAUCUUAUUUUUAAUGUUUGUUUUACUUUUGAGAGACACAUCCAGUGCGAACGGGGGAGGGACAGAGAGAGAGGGAGGCGCAGAAUCCUAAGCAGGCUCCAGGCUCUGAGCUGUCAGCACAGAGCCUGAUGCAGGGCUUGAACCCAUGAACCGUGAUAUCAUGACCUGAGCCGAAGUCAGAUGCUUAUCUGACUGAGCCACCCAGGCACCCCCAUAUACUUUUAAAAAGAACUCCCAGAGGAAGAAAUUUCUGGAGGUUUUCCCAAAUAUAUACAGCUACUUUUUCUGUCAUGCUUACAACAUCUGCAAAGUACGGAAUGUUCAAAUGCAGAUUCUUAUGAUCAAGGGGCUCCAUAAUUGCCUCCUCCAUAUACUCUUUGAGGUCAGUCACUUUCAUAACUAUUCCUGUAAUAGGAUCAAUCUCUCCAUGUACUGUCACCACAACUUUAUAAUUGUGCACGUGGCCAUUUGGAUUGUUGGCAUUCCCAAACAAUUUCAAGUUUUCUUCAUUACUCAGAGAUGUGCUGUGGAGCCAGUAGGUCGCUCUGAGGGAGAUGAGGUGGGACAGUUGCGUGGUGUUCUUGGCUUGCCUUCCCACUUGGUUGGUGGUGGGGCUGGGACAGGCUCUCUGUUUCUAUUUUGAUUUCAAUUUGGUAUUGUAAAAUGUAUUGUUCUUUUUUGGAACUAUUACCUUUAUCUUGUACUUCAUUAAAAUUUCAUGAACAUUUGUAUUUUGCUGACUUGGUUAUUUGUUAAGAUGUGAUUUUUACCAUUUAAAAAUUAUACUAAAGCAGAAGAAUAUUCUUUUUAAGUUUUUUAAUUCGUUUACUGGACAAAAAGUUGACUUAUGUCAAUAAAAACAAAAGUACUUAUGGGCGCUUGGGUGGCUUAGUCGCUUAAGCAUCUGACUUUAGCCCACAUCAUGGUCUUGUGGUCCAUGAGUUCGAGCCCUGUGUUGGGUUCUGUGCUGACAGCUAAGAGCCUGGAGUCUGCUUCAGAUUCUGUGUCUCCCUCUCUCUCUGCCCCUCCCUGGCUUGUGCUCUCUCUUUCUCAAAAAUAAAUAAACAUUAAAAAAUACAUAUAUACUUAAAGUUGAAAUUGGAGAAUUCAAGAAUAUUGCAUUUAUCAGUUCAGGUCUACUUAGAAAUUCAAGAAACUUCUUUGUAAUUGGAACUGUUAGCAUAAAGUCAACUAUUUGUGGCAGGCAUCAUUUGGUCUCAGUGCUUAAGAAAGUCUAAAAAAAUAUUUUUAAGUUAUUCUUGAGAGAGAGAGCGAGAGGUGGGGAGGGGCAGAGAGAGAGAGAGGGAGAGAGUGAGCAUCCCAAGCAGGCUCUGCACUGUCAGCACAGAGCCCAGAUGCAGGCCUAGAACUCAUGAACUGUGAGAUCGUGACCUGAGCCAAAACCAAGAGUCAGUUGCUUAACUGACUGAGCCACUCAGGUGCCCCUAAAUGCUAAAGAAAGUCUAGAGGUUGGAGCCACCUGCUCCAUUUGCAAGCGGCCAAGCCCUCCAGCCUGGCCUGAGGCCAUUAAUCUUCAAAGAAAGUCCUUCUGUUCAAAACCACUCAGAGUUCAUUUUGUAUUUUGCCAAAUUCUCCUCCCUGAAUUCUCCACUUGUUUGUCCUACAGAAUAAUUUUUUUACCCCACAGAAUAAAUAGCAUCUCUUCCAAACUGCAGAAUACUCGAAGACAUCUCUCAUAUCCCCUUUGUCAUUGUUAAACAUACUUAAUUCCUAAAACUGUUCAUGAAAUUGCUAAGACUUCAUUUUAUCAGUAGCCGUCUAAAAUGCAGUCAUAGAACAGAAAGACAUGCCUUAUAAGUUGGUUUUCAUAUAAAGAAGAUGGCCCCUCAGGCUGGGCUGUGAUUUCAUUAAUACCAAUUUUCUUGAGUAAAUGUGUUCAUAGGGUGGAACAUUUAAGCCAAAACUUGGAGAGUUGGAGAGAUUAGCCAGGGAAUGGCCAGGGACAAGUGUUCAGACAGGGAACAGCACCCUGGAGUAUGACAGAGGAGAGGGGAUGUGGCUACAGCCCAGCGCAGGUGUGGAGAGUGGUGAAGCAGGAGCAUCUCUAGGCCUGGAGUCUUCACAUUCACAGUGAAGGGUUGGUCCCGCUGGUACCCAGUGUCAGGGUGAGCAGUAGAGCCUCUUGUAGAAGAUGGAUCUCCCAAUACACUGUCCCAGGCCUUUUCCAGUGAACCACAAAACCUUGCAGACGUGUGGUGCUAUAGUGUGAAGAGGGUCAUGAUGGAUCCAGUAAAAGUGCUUCAUUGUAAACUACCACUUUCACAAAAUAGAUGGGUUUCCCAUUGUCCACUAAAAACCAUAAAUUAAGAAAUGAACGUGACAUUGUGUCCUUUUCAUUUCCUGCUGAGUCUGUGAGUGUCCUGCUUGGAGACAAGCUUCAUCUAGAAGAGCUUUUCUCGGAGUGCCAACUCCUUGCCACUUGGGCCUGCCCUGGGUCCUUAGUCCGCCUCUACCCUUCAGGGUUAAGUAGAGGACCCCAGGUGAGCUGUCUAGGUGAAGGAGCAGCUGGAUACAUAAAAAGGUUAAUGACUUGGGAAAUUUUGAUGAUUUGUUAUUCUUCUAAGACACUUAAGUGCUCUCCAUCUCUCCAUCUCUGUCUCAGCAGUGGCCCGCGACAUGGCAGGCAGGCACCUGCGGUUUUCACUUCACUAUUGAUGGGAAUAAGAGGUCUUCAGCUAAAGUUUCAGAUUCAGUAAGUUUACAACUUUUUGUUCCCUUAUAAAUGAUAUGCUUGUCUUAGAGGAAUAAUGAUCUAUGCCAGUCUUCAAUAUAUUGGAGUAAUACACAGGUCUUAUUUAAAGGAAAACAUUCUGGUUCCAAUAAUGCUCUAUUUUUAGUGUAUAGCACUUAACUGUAGUACAAAUGUAAGCAUAGUUACUAACAUUUUUUGCUUAUGGUUCUUAAGUAUCUAUAAACCAGAUUAAAAUUUAAAGCAGCAAAAUAAUAAAAUACCAGUGACCACUGAACAUUAUUCAUUGUGACAGAUGACAUAGGACCCUGAAGCCACUUGUGUGUAGGCUCUUGGUGUUUACUGGGUCUGUUCUGUCCUCUGCUGAAGGCACUAAAAUUUGUUUACAAAUUCUUUUCUCACAAGCUCACAAUAGUUACUGAAUACUAGUUGGCACCUUCUCAGUCCAACACAAACAUGGUCCUGAAACCGGGGGGUGGUCCUCAGUGCUGAGGCAGUUGCCCAGAUGAAUCGGAAUGUGCCUACCUAAUUAAAACAACAUACUGGGGCACCUGGGCGGCUCAGUCGGUUAAGCAUCCGACUUCAGCUCAGUUCAUGAUCUCGCGGUUUGGGAGUUGGAGCCCCGCAUCAGGCUCUGUGCUGACAGCUUUCGAUUCUGUGUCUCCCUCUCUCUCUCUGUCCCUCCCCUGCUUGCACUCUGUCUCUCUCUCCUUCAAGAAAUAAAUAAACAUUAAAAAAAAAAAAUUUACCUUUUCUUGAGAAACUUGCUGACCGCAGGUGGAGAAUCAUGAUCUAUAUACUGCAUUAUGAGCUUAGAUUCACACAAGCAUGUGUAUGAAUAUAUGGCUGUCAACGGAAAAAGAUGAACAGAAAGGAUAAUGGAGUAGGAAAGCCGUAUUUAGAACUAAUAUUUUGAUUUGUGUCGUUGCUUUCCUUUGCUUCCACGGUUCCCUGCUUUGAGGCUGUACCUCUUGUUUUCAACAUUUCACUUCAUGGUGGGUGUCCCAGGUGCUAGGAUGCGUGCUCCCUCUUCGUCGGGUCUGUGUUUCGGUCCUGUCGGUGUGGGGUGUGCCAGCCACACACUCUGGGUCCUGGCACAGGGUGGAGGCCCCUCUGCUGUGGUUGCUCUUUCAUCGCUUCUUCCAUUUUGUCUGAGCUCUUGCACUGCACCCACCGUCCCAAUGUGUGGCAUAGGUAAAUGGGUGGUUGACAGGUGAAUUGUUCCUUUCCAGAUUUCUACGCAAUACCCGGUAGUGGACCAUGAAUUUGACGCGGUGGUGGUAGGCGCUGGAGGGGCAGGCUUGCGAGCUGCGUUUGGCCUUUCCGAGGCAGGGUUUAACACGGCCUGCGUCACAAAGCUCUUUCCUACGAGAUCACACACCGUUGCAGCCCAGGUAAGAGAAAGGGGCCCCCUUAAUGGUUUUGGCGCCUGCACAGCAGUGCUCAGUCUUCUGCCACAGGCCUUCUCACUGCACGCCAGCCAUGUUCCUGUCUCUCUGCUCCUUGCACCCACCUGGCUUACUCGCCUUGGGAGUGUGUUCCCACACUGCCUCCACCCCCACUGCCGGAGUCACUCCUAGGGCCUCUUAUCGCUCUGCUGCUCCAGUGACACUCAGGUCUUCUCUGAGCACCCACCUAAUCCUCUGGCCCCCAUCAUAGUUUGUCUUCACUGUACUUUCCCAAUCUAAAAUGAGCCUGUCUCUGGACUGAUUCUCUUGGCCCUGCUGCAUCCUUGGCAUGGGCCUCGUUAAGUAUGAUGAUGAUGAGCUUUGCUGGUGGCAUGAAUGUGCAGGACAGAAGAACAUUGGCCUUUAAAUGCUCAAAAUUUAGGGAAGAGGAUAAAAGUAAGAUGAAAAAGUACACAGUGAUUUUAUAAUUUUGUUUUCUUUCCUGGCACACCGUAGGUGGUACGCAGGUUGUAUAUAGUAUUCCAAAACUGGAAUGAAUUGAACUGUUUUUUCCAGUAUUUGGAACAUAUUUCCUCAUAGAGAUAGCAGAGUGUGGGGUAACUUUCCAGGAACCAGUAAAAGCCACCCUAAUUACUGUUGUAGCCUGUAUUCAGCAUGCAGCAACAUUCUUCAGGCACUUUGCUACACAGAUACUUUGUUCUAAAACUAUGUGUUAUAAACUGAAAAAUAAAUAAUACAUACUUUUGAAGAUUACAUUGUGUCUAAAAGGAAAAAUGGAUGUAAACAUAAGUCUAAAUAAUGAGAAAUAAUAGUAUAUUCAGGUAGUGCAAUAUUAAAACAAUAAAAAGUUAGAAAUGGAUAGCUUACCUUGAAUGCUGGUUGGAGAAAGUAAGGUUUAAUUGGGGGGAUAAGACAGGUGGGGACUGGGCAAGUCUAAAGUGUACUCCUGGGGGGGGCGGGGCACAUGGCUGGCUCAGUCAGUAAAGCGUGCAACUCUUGAUCUCAGAGUCGUGAAUUAGAGCCCUGGGUUGGGUAUAAAGAUUGCUUUUUAUUUUUCUUUGAGUAGGCUCUGUGCCCAGCAUGAGGCCCAGCAUGGGGCUUGAACUCUCGACCCUGAGAUCAAGACCUGAGCUGAGAUCAAGUUGGACACUCAACCGACUGAGCCACUGAGGCGCCCUGAGAUUACUUUAGAAAAACAAAAUUGUAUUUCUUGGGACUCCUGGAAGACCAGCUGUCUGUGGCCCUGAUUCUUACUAGUAGUAGCAAUAAAAUAAUAGCAUGGACAUGUGCACUGGGCCAAGUAUUUAGUGUUAUUUUAAACUAGGUUUCUCUCUUCUGCUACUACUCUGGUACUUAACAGUUUUUACUAGGACUGUGUUUGGGUUUACAAUCGGUGGGGUCGGAGAAGGAGGAGGAAAUAACUUGUGACUUUUGCUGCUUGUCUUGUUAGGGUUCCUGGCUUUGUGCUGGUGACUCUUUUCUUGAUAACUGAAACAUAAUGGGAAACUGAGGCACAGCAGCACCAAGCGGGGAAAGAAUUCCUGCAUGGGUCUGCUUGACUCAGAAGCUUGAUUGAGGAACAUUUGCAAAAAAGAGGGAAGUCAGAAAAUGUGCCUUUUCUUCUCAAAAAGAGAUGAGUAAUCCGGUUUUAAGUUGCGGAGGAAAAGUGUGAGUGUUACAUUUGUCCCUGUACUGCCAUUUUCUGUGACUCUGAGAGACAGACACGGUAGAGAGAAUGUGACUCUGAGUUUAGAGUUUAUUCCUUGACCGUAAGUACUUCUUUAACACAUGUCCAUAAAUGCCACUGGGAACAUUUUGUCAUAAAAUUAUCCCAGAUGGAUUUGCUCAAUACCUUUUAUGUGCCAGGUUUGGAGGUGACGAGCAUUGCUCAUAAAACCGCACUUAACCCUCCAGAUGGCUCUCGAGUUCAGCUUCAUGUCCCUUCAUGGGUAAGGGCACUGAGGCUGAGGGAGGUAAGAUUUGGCGUCUGUCGUGCCUCUCCCUGCUCAGGACGGUCCUGUAACCAACCAGACUGCAGUCAGGUCCCUCACAUGCCGUUGUUGUCAAAAUUAGUUGGUUUUCUCUGAAUCCAGUUUUGGGCAGUGGGUGGAAGGGGGAUGGGCCUGGAAGGUCCAGGGUUCCCUUUCGUAGCUUGUAAGUCUGCCCUGUGUUUACAGGGAGGGAUCAAUGCUGCUCUGGGGAACAUGGAGGAGGACAACUGGAGGUGGCACUUCUACGACACUGUGAAAGGCUCCGACUGGCUGGGGGACCAGGAUGCCAUCCACUACAUGACAGAGCAGGCCCCUGCUUCCGUGGUAGAGGUACUGUCCUUGCAUGGUCUGUUUCUGGUAGAAAAGAGAGGUCGAGGCAAAUGUGGUCAGCCCAAGGAAUGGUAACCAGUUGAUGUAACAAGGGAAAUCUUUCCUAUCAUUAACCAUUCAGUUCAUUUAAUAACAAAGUUUUUCUCUUUUCCUGAAGUGUUGAAAUUUUCAUAGAACGUAUUGGUUUGGGUUUACAGGUUUAUGUUGAAAUUGUUUAGUGUAAAUUAGCGAUGAAUAUCCCGAUUCCUUCAAGGUCCUGGGUGUUUGUUUUCACAUUUCACAGCUGGAGAAUUAUGGCAUGCCAUUCAGCAGAACUGAAGAUGGGAGGAUCUACCAGCGCGCUUUUGGUGGACAGAGCCUCAAGUUUGGGAAAGGCGGGCAGGCCCAUCGGUGCUGCUGUGUGGCUGACCGCACUGGCCACUCGCUGCUGCACACGUUGUAUGGAAGGGUGAGGCCACCCUGGGUGCAUGGGGUGACAGGACAUGGUCUGGUUAGGCCAGGCAUGUGGUGAUGAGCUGGAAACAGGCCACUCUGGGACAGGUCAGAAGGUCAGCAUGUCAGCCCUGGGGUUGCUUAAUAAACAGCAGACUAACAUGGCAGGAUGUAUAUUUGUUAAUUGUUAAUUUGAAAGUGUCUAUUUUAGAAAAUUAAAUUGAUCUGCCAUACCGAAAGUAUAAGAACAGAGCAAGUAUUUUAGGACUCAGCACCUCUGAGUCCCUGAACUAAUUGAUUUAAUACUUAAGUGUUCAAACUGGACUAAGGUUUGGGGGACAGUAGUUACUGGAUAAUCAGGGCCUACUUUGGCAUAGCCAAGUAAUCAAUAUUUGGAAUAACUCUGAUUCAUAAUAUUCAGUAUUCUGAAUUCUUGCUCUCAAAUGGGGACAGAUUCUUGAUUUGCAAAUGUUAGGACCCUGGUGGCAGCUUCGGCUGAGUGCAUUGACACACGUGUGACAGGAUCUGCCCAUCCUGCAGCAUACUGUGUCAUGUUGGGGAGCUGGUGGUUUUGUGAGAGCCCUUCAUGUUUACUGAGCAGCUACAGCAUCUUCUCUGACAUGCAUGACAUGUGUAUGUCCUUCUUAUGGUCUGAUCUGAUCAUACAGCUGAGAGCAGGGUACCUUUCGUGUUGAUCCACAACAGCAUCAGCACUAUGGUUGAUGCAAGUAAAGUCUGUGGCUUCUUUUGCAGCCCAGGGUUUACCCUGUCCAUUUGUUACACACCACAUCAGAGCCCUUGACUUGUUCAUAUGAGCAGUGUUGCUGAAAUGUUAGUUUAACACCCUAAAUGCAAUUGAAACUGUGGGAUUCUUUUUUCUUUCAUGUUUUUUAGUCUCUGCGAUAUGAUACCAGCUAUUUUGUAGAGUAUUUUGCUUUGGAUCUCCUGAUGGAAAAUGGAGAAUGUCGUGGUGUUAUUGCGCUGUGCAUAGAAGACGGGUCCAUCCAUCGCAUAAGAGCAAAGAACACUGUUGUAGCUACUGGGUAGGAGUCUAACUUGUAUUUAGUUUUUCUGCAGGAAAGUUGGGUCUCCGAGUUUCUUUAAAAAAAAAAAAAAUGGAGGCAGUGACCUAACCCAGGAGCAUAAUAAGCUUUGCCAGUCUCAGUUCCAUGUCUCCAAAGGGGACAAUCAUAGCACCUGCCUCAGGUGGGUGAGGAAGUAUCUGUCUUCAGUUUGCACCUGAGAGGACCCUUGAGGAAACGGGUCUGGAGAGUCACGUGACACUUCCUGGCUUAACCUGUCUUUUGCUUUAGUGGACACUGUGUUUAUACUGAUUUCUGGUGUAGAUAAGUGCUGUUUGUUCACAUGAUGAAACUAAAUUACAUUUCUUACAUUGUCAGUCCGUUAUUUUAACCCUUUACAAGAGUGAGUCCAUAAAGCAAAAAUUUCAGCAUUAAAGCAGCACACGCUUCUCAGGGAGGUCGUUCAGAUAGCAUGAAAGUGCCUUGAAGUAUAAACGAGAGUGCCUCCUCCGUCUCCCAGGCUCCCGCCCCAGUUGCCCAGGGUAGCGCGUGCAGACAGCACCUGUCACGGUGCUGCGGGCUGCUCUGUCCGCUCUGGUGCCACUAGAAAGGCGAUCCUGAUGGGACGCCAUGUGUCACUGCUUUCUCUCUGCUGGCCCGUCUGUUUUCCAGAGGCUACGGGCGCACCUACUUCAGCUGCACAUCUGCCCACACCAGCACCGGUGACGGCACUGCCAUGGUCACCAGGGCAGGCCUUCCCUGCCAGGACUUGGAGUUCGUUCAGUUUCACCCCACAGGUAGGACGGGACCACUUUCAUGGGGUCAGGACUCUCAUACCUCUCGAUGCCCCUCUGUAGUCCCACACACUAGCACAUUCUCAGAGCCCAGCUUGUCAUUUGCUCAAGGAAGUUUUUUCCAUUUCUCCCGAGGCAGUUUAGGCCACCACCUUGCCUUGGCGAUACCUGCUCCAGUCGUAAAGCUGGAGCUUUAUGUAAAGACUGUUCAGUGUCCCUCUCCCCAACUCGAUUGUCAGCUCCCGGAGGUGGGGACAGGUGCUGCAGUUCACAGUGCCUGGCACAUAGUAGGACCUCAUCAGUGUUUCCUGAGUGAAUGUCCCGAGAGCUGUUGAUCAGAGUUGUGGCAUGGGCAGAUUCCAGUGUUACAGGGAAAACAUCAGGCUGUCCAGUAGAGUAUAAAGUCGGAACGAGCUAUGGCAGAUGCGGCCCCCUGAGAUGUUAAUGACUGUGGUGCCAUUUGUGGGCACAUUGAGCUCAUCUUGCGUCCUCAGACAGUUGAGUGUGCAAAUGUGGAGUUCAGACGGGAGGUCUAGGCUGCAGGUGCAGAAUUGAGAGAGUUCGUUAUUCAGAUAUGAAUUGGAGAGAGAGAUCUGCCUCUUGGGACAGGCAAGUCUCAAUCUGGACUUUGUUUCUAGUUGCUUUUCUGACCUGUCAACUGAGGGGACACCACACUUUGUGGAAGUAGCCUCCCGCCAUGCUAAAGAACCAGACCUGGGUUUUCUCUUUGCUCUGUCAGUAUAUUUUUUCUGAUCCCUGGCAGGGAUAAAAAGUAAAAAAUGUUUUAGGUAGUUUUUUAAUACUGGUUUUGGGGGUUUUUGUUUUGUUUUAAAGUUUACUUAUUUAUUUUGAGAGAGAACAUGUGAGCGGGAGAGGAACAGAGAGACCAGGAGAGAGAGAAUCCCAAGCAGGCUCCGUCCUGUCAGCAUGGAACCUGACUUGGGGCUCUGGCUCCCAAACUGUGAGAUCAUGACCUGAGCCAAAAUCAAGAGUCAAAACACAAUCGACUGAGCCACCCAGGUGCUCCAGGAAAUUCUUGUUCUUUUUUUUUUUUUUCUUUUAAAAGUUUGUUUAUUUUUGAGAGAAAGAGACAGUGUGAGCAGGGGAGGGGCACAGAGAGAGAGAGACAGAAUCCGAAGCAGGCUCCAGGCCCUGAGCUGUCAGCACAGAGCCUGACUGGGGCUCGACCUCAGCAACCGUGAGGUCAUGACCUGAACUGAAGUCAGAUGCUUAACCAACUGAGCCACUCAGGUGCCUCUGCUUUCUUGUUCUUAAAGCAAGAAAACUCUUCUGGUGUGGUAAUGACAGUUUUAACUUUCAGGUGACAUUGACAUAGGUGUUUGUCUCCUUGUUAAAAUUCAGGUGCUUGGCAUUCCUUAUUGAAGGGACAGUGAGAUUAAGGGCACAGACCUGCCUAGUUGCCAGGUGUGCGUUUGGCUCUGCCUUCCCAGCUGCAGAACACUGACAAGUUCCUAAGCUAUCAUUGCUCUCUCUGAAAAUAGGGAUAUUUCCUGGGGUUGUUACAAAACUUAGAGUUGUAUACAGCAAGUACAGUAUAAGUAUGAACGGUGGUAAUUAUUGCUGUUGUUAACCAGUUUUUAUUUUUUUAUUUUUUUUUUUAAGUUUUUAUUUUUAUUUUCAAGAGACAGAGAGAGACAGAGCAUGAGUGGGGGAGGGGCAGAGAGAGGGAGACACAGAAUCCAAAGCAGGCUCCAGGCUCUGAGCUGUCGGCACAGAGCCCAAUGCGGGGCUCAAACCCAUAGACCGUGAGAUCAUGACCUGAGCCAAAGUCGGACACUCAACCGACUAAGCCACCCAGGCGCCCCAUUAACCAAUUUUUAGAUACGAAUUUUCCAAGCUGGUUUUUCUUACCUAGUCACAAUUUCAUGCUACAAAAGAACAUUCUGCAAUUAAAACAAACCUGAGAUAUUUAACUCAUGCUUGGUUGUGCUGAAAGCUGAAAAGCUGUUGGAAUUGGAAUAUUCAGCCAAGCUGUGUUGUUACUACAUUAGCUGCCCUUUCUCCUCACUGCUGCUUCAUUGGUGCUUUUUGUUGUCAAAACUUCCUACUAUUCCUUACUUAACCUGUCCUUUGUCUUAUUCUGUUGUGAGCAUCAUGCCCCUUGCAUACCCUUUUCCUUUCCACCCCCAGAAACGUAUUGGAAAAAAAUUUGCAUUUGAAAUAUUGACCUAGCAAUUGUUAGGUUAUAAUCAUCUAAUUAACUGGGUUCUUUGCAGGUAUAUAUGGUGCCGGUUGUCUCAUUACAGAAGGGUGCCGUGGAGAGGGAGGCAUUCUCAUUAACAGUCAAGGCGAAAGAUUCAUGGAGCGAUAUGCCCCGGUUGCAAAGGACCUGGCAUCCAGAGACGUCGUGUCUCGGUCCAUGACUCUGGAAAUACGUGAAGGAAGGUCUGUGUCAUUCUAUCCAAAGGUGUCUGAGUGCACACACACACAUGCACACCCUCCUUUCUCUUGGGUGGCUGCUAUUCAAGUCUACAUGUGCACCUGGGCUGGUGUGGCUUCUGUGUGAGUUUUAGCAACUCACCUACCCCACCCAACUCUGAGUAGGCUGCCUCUCCUCCCCUCUGAUGGUUGUUUGUCAAUUUAUGAUAUCCCUCUAAAAACCUACAUUUUGGGAAGUUAAGCUGGUUUGACUUCAGUCUCUCUCAAAUCUGUGGAACAUCAAUUGUGUGUAUGAGUGUUAUGAUAGAGACAGACACUCUGUGUGGGGGAGCAAGACACACAUGCCCACAACCUAAGUUAGCAUAUGGGCCUUCGGUGCUGUUUGGGGACCCACAUGCGUUCGAGACCUUCACUGUGCAGGCUCUUGAGUGCCAGUGCUGCCUUACGAUGGUGAUCUUUCUUGUAUCUUUGAUGUUAUAACUUCUAGAGAUUUUAUAUUUGGAGUGUUUGCAUUAAAAGGACUUUCUAAUGCAUUUACCAAGGAAAACAGCUAAUUGUGACUUCCUAAGACUAGAGUAUGAGCUCAGUGAGGGCUGGAAGUCUGUCCAUGUUCUGGCUGUGUCCUACCACAUUCAGUCUACCCUGUCACAGAGCAGGUGCUCAGAGGAGAUGUGAAGAAUGGAUGGCCACAAGUGAAGGGAAAUUUUGUACAGCAUAAAAAAAUGUAAACUCAUAGUCUCACAUUUUCUAUAAUUGCCGUUUUUUGCCUCACACCGUGAUGUCCUUUUCCACCAGAGGCUGUGGCCCUGAAAAAGAUCACGUCUACCUGCAGUUGCACCACCUACCCCCAGAGCAGCUGGCCAUACGGCUGCCUGGCAUUUCAGAGACGGCCAUGAUCUUCGCAGGUGUAGAUGUCACCAAGGAGCCCAUCCCCGUCCUUCCCACCGUGCAUUAUAACAU
rnacentral:lncRNA from 1 species